AGAGUUUGAUCCUGGCUCAGGAUGAACGCUGGCGGCGUGCUUAACACAUGCAAGUCGAACGGGGAUAACACAUCGAUAUACCUGCUUGCAGAUUGAAAUAAGUCUUAUUCUAGUGGCGGACAGGUGAGUAACGCCUGGGCGACCUGCCUUAGGCGAGGGGAUAACAACUGGAAACCUCUGCUCAUACCGCCUAACCGCGCCCUACUGGAUGGUACAGUGUGAAAAACUGAGGUGGGAUUGGGUGGGCCCGCGUCUGAUUAGCUGGUUGGGAAGAUGACCGCCUACGCAAGCAACAAUCACCAACCGGACUGAGAGGGCGGACGGCCUCAUUGUGACUGACACACCGCCCACACUCCUACGGGAGGCAGGGGUGGGGAAUAUUGCAGAGUGAGGGGAACCCUGAUGCACCCACCCCGCGUGAGUGAAGAAGUAUUUUUGUAUGUAUAGAUCUAUCUGCACGGAAGAGAAAAGUGCGGUUCCUGAGUAAGAAGCCCCGGCUUAAUUCGUUCCCGCCGCCGCGGUUAUUAGUUGGGGGCCAGCGUUAUUCGGAAUUUCUGGGUGUAAAGGGAGGGUCGGCGGCAAUGCCAGUUCGGAUUGGAAUGCGGCAGGUUCACUCCCGAGCUUCUAUGGAAACUUUAUGGCUUGAGUUCUGGAGGGGUAAGCGGAAUUUCUUGUGUAGCGGUGAAAUGGGUUGAUAUCUGGAGGAACCCCCGUGGGGAAGGCGGCUUUCUGGACUGUAACUGACGUUGAGGCUUGAAAGCGUGGGGAACCAACCGGAUUAGAUAUCCCUGGUAGUUCCCGCCGUAAA
rnacentral:rRNA from 1 species